rnacentral:rRNA from 1 species
CUUUACUGACGCUAAAGCUCGAAAGUGCGGGUAUCGAACAGGAUUAGAUACCCUGGUAGUCCGCACGGUAAACGAUGGAUGCCCGCUGUUGGCGAUACACGGUCAGCGGCCAAGCGAAAGCGUUAAGCAUCCCACCUGGGGAGUACGCCGGCAACGGUGAAACUCAAAGGAAUUGACGGGGGCCCGCACAAGCGGAGGAACAUGUGGUUUAAUUCGAUGAUACGCGAGGAACCUUACCCGGGCUUGAACUGCAGCAGAACGAUAGAGAGAUCUUGAGGCCCUUCGGGGCUGCUGUGGAGGUGCUGCAUGGUUGUCGUCAGCUCGUGCCGUGAGGUGUCGGCUUAAGUGCCAUAACGAGCGCAACCCCUUUCCUCAGUUGCCAUCAGGUUAUGCUGGGCACUCUGGAGACACUGCCGCCGUAAGGUGUGAGGAAGGUGGGGAUGACGUCAAAUCAGCACGGCCCUUACGUCCGGGGCUACACACGUGUUACAAUGGGUGAUACAGAGAGUCAGUGCAUGGCAAUAUGCAUUCAAUCAAUAAAGUCAUCCUCAGUUCGGAUUGGGGUCUGCAACCCGACCCCAUGAAGCUGGAUUCGCUAGUA